ACGGCCAUACCACAUUAAAAAAAAACGGUUUUCGUCCGAUAACCGAAGUUAAGCAAUGUCGGGUCCGGUCAGUACUUGGGAGGGUGACCACCUGGGUACACCAGGUGCUGUAGGCU